AAGCCAGUGAUGAUGUAAAAUAUAAAAUGUUGGAAUUACCGACUGAUUUCAUUUUGAUGAUAACUAGGCUGCCUGAGGCUUUUU
rnacentral:snoRNA from 1 species